rnacentral:rRNA from 1 species
GCAGGUACGAAAGUAGGUCUUAGUGAUCCGGUGGUUCUGAAUGGAAGGGCCAUCGCUCAACGGAUAAAAGGUACUCCGGGGAUAACAGGCUGAUACCGCCCAAGAGUUCAUAUCGACGGCGGUGUUUGGCACCUCGAUGUCGGCUCAUCACAUCCUGGGGCUGAAGUAGGUCCCAAGGGUAUGGCUGUUCGCCAUUUAAAGUGGUACGCGAGCUGGGUUUAGAACGUCGUGAGACAGUUCGGUCCCUAUCUGCCGUGGGCGUUGGAAGAUUGAGAGGGGUUGCUCCUAGUACGAGAGGACCGGAGUGAACGCACCACUGGUGUUCGGGUUGUCAUGCCAAUGGCAUUGCCCGGUAGCUAAGUGCGGAAAAGAUAAGCGCUGAAAGCAUCUAAGCGCGAAACUUGCCUCAAGAUGAGUCUUCCCUGGGCCUUCAAGGCCCCUGAAGGAACGUUUAAGACUAAGACGUUGAUAGGCUGGGUGUGUAAGUGCAGCGAUGCAUUGAGCUAACCAGUACUAAUGAUCCGUGAGGCUUAACCUUACAACACCGAAGGUGUUU